UCUCAAUUAGCGGCGUGCUGGGUUUCCAAUCCAGAGGUCGUGAGUUCGAUUCUCGUACCGGGAU
rnacentral:tRNA from 1 species